rnacentral:rRNA from 1 species
AACGAACGCUGGCGGCAGGCCUAACACAUGCAAGUCGAGCGAAGCCUUCGGGCUUAGCGGCGGACGGGUGAGUAACGCGUGGGAACGUGCCCUUUGGUACGGAAUAGCCCCGGGAAACUGGGAGUAAUACCGUAUGUGGUCGAGAGACGAAAGAUUUAUCGCCAAAGGAUCGGCCCGCGUUGGAUUAGGUAGUUGGUGGGGUAAUGGCCUACCAAGCCAACGAUCCAUAGCUUGUUUUAGAGGAUGAUCAGCCACACUGGGACUGAGACACGGGCCAGACUACUACGGGAGGCAGCAGUGGGGAAUCUUAGACAAGGGGGGAAACCCUGAUCAAGCCAUGCCGCGUGAUCGAUGAAGGCCUUAGGGUUGUAAAGAUCUUUCAGUGGGGAAGAUAAUGACUGUACCCACAGAAGAAGCCCCGGCUAACUCCGUGCCAGCCGCCGCCGUAAGAC